GAGACACUUGGUGCGUAGAGGGAAACAAGAGCUGGUGCCUUAGGCAGGCUGGCGAGUGACUGGCGGAGCCGGUGCUGGUUGGAGACAGGUUGAUCGGUAGAUGCCGAGCUUCAAUACCGCAUAGACUGACGAUCUGGCGAAGACUGGAGAGAAGAGCCGGGUAUAUAUACUGCCAGGUGUUGGUGGAUGGAGAUCAGGUGAGUAACAGCAGGAGUGUUGCAGGUGUGUCAGUUCUUGAUUGGAGGUUUCCUUGGGAGGCCGCGCUUCGCCACCCACACACACACACACACACACACACAGAGGGAGAACCAAUAGGGGACAAACAGACAAACGCUAGGAAUGGUAAGCUGCACCAUGGCAGCAGGUUGCAAUGUAAAACAAGGCAGGACACAAUGUUCUAAAAUAUGAACCAUAAUGAUAUGGAUUCAUAUAAUUACCAUGGUGAUGGCAGCGCAUGCAAAUGCGACAGCCAGUAGCUAGCUCCUUCAAAAGUCGCAACAUUUUAGUUUUUUUGUUAUUUUUGUCGCCUUUAUCGCUGAAACAUCUUACAGAGACCUGGCUGCAUCACAACAUGCCGGAUUAAGCUAUCGCACUCGAUGGGCGGACCAUGUUCCGUGGCGACAGAACGCAAGAGAAGGGGCUGGAGGUGGGAGUGGCAGAGGGUCAUCAGCAUCACUGGCAACACCUGGGCCUGUGUGCCAGUACUCCUUCAAAAACCCUCUUGGAGCUCAGUUGCUGUGUGCUACGCUACCUAAGUCACCCAUUUGGUUUUUAGUUGAUGUUUGGCUUGUGUUGUUAUACCAUACAAUAUUACAGAGGCUGAGGCAUUGCACCCACACACUUCCCCACUCAUGCUCCCACCUACACUACUGAUCUUACUGAUUACACAUGCCACGGUUAGUUUAAGUCCUCUCUUGUGUUAUUCCUUUUUUAAUAAAUAAUUUGUUAAUUGGCUUGGUUUUGUGCAUCUUCGCUUUUGUCAUGGCCUUGUGGCCCAGUUUGUGACACUGCAACAGCAAUGCUUUAUGGUAAUUUCUAUAUUUUGUGUCCACUUUGUGUCACAGAGAAGGGUUACCAUUUCAGUAUAAUAUAUUGGGUUUAGAAAUAAGAAUAAGAAAAGAUAAAAAAUAUAUGAAGGAAGGAAAAUUAUUGAAAAAAUUAAAUCAUUAUUUUUACAUGCAUUGUGGAAGUAACCAAUGUCAAAAAAACACUACAGGGUUAAGUUUAAACUGGAAGAGACAGGAAACUGCAUGAAUUUGGAAUUCUAUCUGGAAUUAAUGAAUUAAUGUAGGAUGUAUCAUGAAUUCUGGUUGCUCACCAUUAAUAAAUGAUGAAGUCACUAUGAAUUUAUGUGAUUAGUUAACUUGAUGAUACUGUUAACUCACAGUUACUUCAUACAUGAAUUAUGCCACCUAAAUAGCUGGAAUCCAGUUACUAGUGAUCAGCCUCUGAAAGCAGGACAGUUCUCAUAAAAAUGAAGCUGUUUUUAUCAAACUGGUCAUCAGAUGCAUACAUCUACAAAUUGCUGAAUGACCCAGUGGUCCUUGUUUAUAUCACAUUUACAAGCGAGGGGUGGAACAUGAGUUUAUUUAUUUUCUAUCAUCAUUGGUUUGUUUGUUGCUAAAAUGAUAAGAGUGUAGCACAGAAGGGAAUGGUGCACUAAAACCAAAAAUAUCUACCAGGUGCUGGCUGACAAAUCAAGGGAGAAUGGACAGACAUGUUAAAGCAUACAUGCAUACAUACAAAGCAACAGUUUACAUUGUAAGGAAAAGAGGAAGAAAAACUGAGUAUUAAUGUUGUCAGGGAUUUGAUUGUGACUUGUCCAUAUUUCUAGAGAUUGUUUGUAUUGUUUGCAUCUAAAAAAAAAAUAUAUGAGAAAAGGUCCUGUUCUGCUUUCAGAGGCUGAUCAGAUGUAUCUUUUCUAUAUAUCCAGCUGAUUUGGUGUGGUUACGGGUUAGUUAAUAGUGACUUAAUCAUUUCUUAAUAGAGAGCAACAGGAAUUCACCAUACAUCCUGCAUUCAUUCAUGCAUUAAAACGUCAUUAGUCAUACAUAAGUUAUGCAUUACUGUGUAUUGCACCCUUAUUUUAAAGUAUUUCCAACUUCUCUACUAUGGAGCUCAAGGGUUUUUCAGUGAGAGCCUACAAAACACUUAACCGACCUAUAGUUAAAAUGUAUUUUUCAUCAGAGCUAACAGCUCUUUACAUAUAGCCUUAGUUAAAUCCAUAGAAUUUAGUCUAGGUUUUAUGAUAAACGGCUGGAUCAGUAGCCUUCAACUAAGCUCUAUUACAGGUAUGUGGUGUUUUGUGUAAUUGGCUCGUUCUGGUUUCACACUGAUUCAACCGCGAAAAUCAAACAAUUUCUGUCACAUUUUUAUACUGCAAGUGUGUGCAAAUGAUGCUGCUUCUGUGUUUACAAGGUGGUUAUAGAAUUAAAUGGAGACGUGUGUCAAAGAAAAACAGCGACCCUGGGAGGCAGAAAUGGUGCACUACAUUCGGCCCAUCACAUUCCCAGUUCAGUCGGUGAGCAACACAAAAGCAGUUUGCUUUGGUUUGAGAGGUAAUCAGUAUCCUCAUAUGCUUAACUUAAAUGAGAUUGCUUGAAUCUGGAGAUACAUAUAUUUAGGUGUCGUAUGCAAAUCUAAUUCUACGUUGCUUGUAUUUCAGUGAGACGCUUGCCGCAGAAGCAAGACAUAGUUAAUUACGAUUUAUUCUACCAACCAUGACAGUUCUGUUAACCGGAGACAAGACAUAUUCCUCUUUUUGUAUUUACAGAAAUCUCAGUGAUAUUCAGCUUUGAUUAACAUUAAUGUUUCUGCCAACUGAUGUUAAUGAAUACUUCAUCAUGUAGCCUAAGCGUGCAUAAAGCUUUUAGGAUAGUGCUACUAUAUUCUAUAAUGUACAUCAUUUCAUAAUGGCUAAAAUGUCAGUAUUUGUAACACCAAACAGUACAUGUUACAUUCUGUUUUUUUGUGCUAAUAUUAUUGCGGACUUUUAAAAAUUAGGCUACUUAAAAAGUUGACUGAAUAAUUAAUGACCGAUUGUGGACAUUGAUAUUCGCAUCGUUUAUUUAGAUCCAGAAAAAUAUUAAUUUAUAUAUAUUGUAUCUGGGAAAUUUCUAAUGGUCGAUGCAGGCAAAUUUUUACAAAUGCGGGGGGAAAUUCUAGGGUUCAGUGGAAGCUAUACUUCGUGCCCUCUGGUUUUUCAUCAGUACCAAAACUCCUGCUGCUACACCAGCCCUCCUUUUGUGGUAAGCAACGACUUCACUUCCCCUAUGAUUACAUCCUCAACUUUUCCCCAUGCAUUCCUCAGGAACGUAAGAAUACUUCAUAGAGCAUCCGCUAUCUUAGAGCGAUGUACGAGCCCAGUCGGAGGGGAAAUUCCACAGCGGGCUGCUGCAUAGAACUGGACUGUAAUUGGAUGCAGCUUGAGAGUCAGCCGCCUCUGUCUCUGCCUCGGCCUCUCGCUUGCUUACUUGAAGCGGCGGUGAAAUAUGGAGAGAGAGAGCGUUUUAAUGGAACCUGUAGUCGAUUUCCCAUUAUGAAUAAAAAAAGAAAGUAAACUGGCCGCCAAAGCUCGGGGCGUGGCCUUCCUAUGAACCUCAGACUGGCAUUGGCCGCCACACAUACACACACAGUGAACAUGCAUCUCCAUUAACCCUCCUGCCCCUCCGCAUCCUCUUUGCAACCCAAAGGCUCCAAGGUAGUCGAAUCACAAAAUAACGGUGCUAAUAUCAUCUCAGAGUAGGUGUGCGCAUAAGGAUGAUGCGCCAGGAGAAGCAGCAGUAGCAGCACGCGCUACAGACCCCAAUGUCACCUCAGUGUCUGCCGCCGCCAGGUGUGCACGAGAUGCAGCCGUUACCACAGAGCCUUCACUAAGGCAUCGUUAUGAGCGUGACGCACGUGUUCACUGUUCGCAGCAUUCCAACAAAAAGGACCCCCCUCCCCCGCCACUCUCCUCCCCCUCCUCUACCCACGUAACUCAGGAACCGAACCGGCAGCUCAAGUCCAGACUGCCGCCUGCAACUGGACACGUGCCCGCUUUCAGCAGCCUGACCGCCGAGCCACCGCGUCAUCAUCACCCCAUGGUCAUAGCGAUGCUUCUCCCAGGGUGGGUUCGGUGCUAUCUCGGUUUCGGGACUGCAGUCUGCUCACCCUCACAACUGUGGCGAGCAUCUUCCGUUUAAAGUCCACGAGGGCGGCUUUGCAAUCCGUCACAAUCGGAUCUGUGGUGGUGAUGAUCGCCAAGGAAGUCCCGUCUCACUACCACCGCUGACCGUGCACACCUUCUCCCAAGUGGUGUGCCGUCUGCAGACCUCAUACCUCCUCGUGGAUGAGAGCGACCCGUUAUCGUUGGAGUCAGAUAAUGAUGGCAGCCGGGUAUCACCGACGUCUAAGAGGAGGAAGAGGAGUGCUGCUGAUGCUCCAUGACAGACGGCAAGAGGAAAUAACAGGAAGGAAUAAGGAAGGACGUGAUUCGGUUCCGGUCCAAAACAGUUGCAGAUGAGCCCGGCCUUCGGCGCCUGGUUGUCGGCCCGAGCCAAAGAAGCGCUGUCCUUACACCAAGCAGCCGACUGGAAAAAUAAUUCCUCUUCAGCAUGUACCUGACCCGACAGCGCCGCCUCGAGAUCUGCAGGAG